UACGAAGGGUGCAAACGUUGCUCGGAAUCAUUGGGCGUAAAGCGCACGUAGGCGGCCUGUUAAGUCGGAUGUGAAAUCCCUCGGCUCAACCGAGGACGUGCAUACGAAACUGGCAGGCUCGAGUAUGGAAGAGGGUCGCGGAAUUCCCGGUGUAGAGGUGAAAUUCGUAGAUAUUGGGAGGAACACCAGUGGCGAAGGCGGUCCCCUGGGCCGGAACUGACGCUGAGGCGCGAAAGCGUGGGGAGCAAACAGG
rnacentral:rRNA from 1 species